UCAGCAAGCGACUUAACACGGACGGUAAUAGAGUCGAAACAAAACCAAGGUGGAGAUCAAGAGGAGGGCGAAGGCGAGGAGAAUGACAAGGCGGCUGGCAAGACGAAUGGCAAGUCGGAAAGCAAGACGGAUGGCAAAGCGCCGGCCAAAGCGAAUCGUGCCGGGUAAUCCACAAAGCCUAAGUGAAUUGCAAAAACAGAUCUUUAAGUCAACAGGAAAACCUUGGUUUCAUUUUUUCCAAUUUGUACGAAGACGUGAUGACAAGUUACCAUCACUCGCACUAAUGCUAAAGUCACUAAGAAGAGAAAAAGAUCUAUAGAUGAAGCCAAAUUAUGACAAUCGUUCUGUUGUGCGUUUCUCCUUGCUGUCCUGCAUUUCA
rnacentral:lncRNA from 1 species